rnacentral:rRNA from 1 species
GAUGAACGCUGGCGGCGUGCCUAAUACAUGCAAGUCGAGCGAACAGACGAGAGUGCUUGCACUCUCUGCCGUUAGCGGCGGACGGGUGAGUAACACGUGGGUAACCUACCUAUAAGACUGGGAUAACUUCGGGAAACCGGAGCUAAUACCGGAUAAUAUUUAGCUUCGCAUGAAGCAAUAGUGAAAGACGGUUCUGCUGUCACUUAUAGAUGGACCCGCGGUGUAUUAGCUAGUUGGUGAGGUAACGGCUCACCAAGGCAACGAUACAUAGCCGACCUGAGAGGGUGAUCGGCCACACUGGGACUGAGACACGGCCCAGACUCCUACGGGAGGCAGCAGUAGGGAAUCUUCCGCAAUGGACGAAAGUCUGACGGAGCAAUGCCGCGUGAGUGAAGAAGGUUUUCGGAUCGUAAAACUCUGUUGUAAGGGAAGAACAAGUACGUUAGUAACUGAACGUACCUUGACGGUACCUGACCAGAAAGCCACGGCUAACUACGUG